CGGAGUAGUAAUGGACUCAAUGCCAGCGCGGGGCGAGCGGAGCCCCUCAACCGGGCUCGUCUGUAAGACCAGAGGCAACUGGGACCUGAGAAGCUCCAACCUUCUCUCCUUGGCUUUCAGCAGUAUCAUUAACCCCAGCCUUGCCAUGUGUUCCCGUAGAGGAAUAGAUGCCGCCACACCGUAGUCAGCACUGGUCAUUGGACCACCUUUGCUCAAUUGAAUGCAAAUAAUACCUAAUGUAUGAAUAUGUUAGUUCUAUAAUAAGAAGAAUAGCUAAAUUUUCUGAGACAUCAACUUUGUGGGACAACAAGGCAUUUGGAGAAGUGGAAGCAAUGGACAGAGUGGGAGAUCUCAGCUGAUAACAAGAGCAGAGACUAAGCCAACUCUUUCUGGCCGCUACAAAGAAGAAAAAGAGCCCACAGGAAAGGUCUUGAACUGAGAAUGGACCCGGAGUUUAAAACAGAAAUGCUUGAAUUAUCUCGUUAUGCCAUGUUAUCUACUUUGCGGACAUUCCAAGCUCAGCUGGAUUGUGUUGAGGCAUGAUUUGAAGUAAGGCAACACUGAAAUUGAUAGCUGUGAAAUGACAGCAGCAGAUGGACCUGGCUAGCAUGAAGCCAUCAAAGGUACUUCACGGUGCAAGAUAGUGUUCUCCACCUCUACCUCCCUUUGUAUUCCAGGCAGGAAGAAUAAGAAAGCUUUGAGGAGGAAGGGCUGGCACCUAUGCAAGGAAAGCAAAACUACAUAGGAAUUCCUGGUCUUAAUUGUUCAUUGUGGAUCUCUGAACGGGAAGUAUGGAACACUCUUUUCCCAAAUCCGUUUGACCUUGAAAAGCAUCCUAAGAAAUACACCUUGGAAGUGCUAUUUGGGAUUCUUCAGCACUAAGCCUUGUGAUUAUUUUACAGAGUUUGCAAAAAGUCCGCCUCAUUAAAAGAAGCUCUUAAUUUGCCCUUUUCCCAUAUUUUUCGGCUAAGAGAUCUGGUUGCCUUCUCAUUCAGCUAAAUAAGAGAGGGAGAAAUUAAGGAUAUGGGAAAGAGGAGCCUGGACCUACUUAACGGGGACUUGAACAGAAUACAAGGUGUGGUGCACAGCCAGGUUGAAGGGCUUCAGGAGGCAGGCAUGUAGACAGGACAAGAAACUGGCAGGAUCGAGGCUGGCAGUGAAGCUAGCAGUCGGUGCAGACUCUUCCAGGAACAAAGUCAAGGCAAGAUGAGGAGAUGAGGCAGCACGGGGGCUUGGUUAAAUAGGAUCGGAAUUGCAGAUAAUAUAGUCUCGUGGAGCAUCGGGUCUCAGGACCCCAACCCUAGGGAGGAACUGAGUCUUAACCCUCUGUCUGGCACCUGAAAUAAAUGCCUCUUCAUUUUCUGUCUCUGGCGUCUCAGAUUGUUUUUCCCUAGUUACAGCGGCCAG